GAUGAACGCUAGCGGCAGGCCUAACACAUGCAAAUCGAGGGGUAGAGUUAGCUUGCUAACUUGAGACCGGCGCACGGGUGCGUAACGCGUAUGCAAUCUACCUUGUACAGAGGGAUAGCCCAGAGAAAUUUGGAUUAAUACCUCAUAGUAUCUUUACCUGGCAUCGGGUAAUUAUUAAAGUUCCAACGGUACAAGAUGAGCACGCGUCCCAUUAGUUAGUUGGUAAGGUAACGGCUUACCAAGACAAUGAUGGGUAGGGGUCCUGAGAGGGAGAUCCCCCACACUGGUACUGAGACACGGACCAGACUCCUACGGGAGGCAGCAGUGAGGAAUAUUGGUCAAUGGACGCAAGUCUGAACCAGCCAUGCCGCGUGCAGGAAGACGGUCCUAUGGAUUGUAAACUGCUUUUAUACAGGAAGAAACAACUCUACGUGUAGAGUCUUGACGGUACUGUAGGAAUAAGGAUCGGCUAACUCCGUGCCAGCAGCCGCGGU
rnacentral:rRNA from 1 species